CUCGCAAUAAUCAUCAUAUAAAAACACAAGCUAGAAUUCAGGAAUGUGCCAAUAACAACUCCCUCAUCACAGGCUGGGCUAGAUUUCCAAAAGCAUCAGAUGCUGAACACAGCUUCUCCAGGAAAGGUGGGAAAUUCAGGGAAAAAACCCUCAACCUAGUGUAUACAGAGAGUUUCCAUCAAAAACACUGAGGUGAAACCAGAGAGUCCACUGACCAGGUAAUUGACAAUAGGUCUCCAUGGAAGUCUUCCCAGCAUUUCUGCAAAAAUUUAGAAAACAUUAGGUUUGAUACCAUCAUCAUGUUUGCCAAGACAGCAAAAAUCCCAGCCGGCAAAACUUCGAGUGUGAUGAAGCAGAACAGUGAGGACAGCACGGAAUCACUGAUCAUUUCAGGAUGCCUUUAGCAAGGGUUUCCAGUGAGGGAGUUUUCCAUCGCCUCUGGAGCAGAAGCGGUAGGGCGUGGCUCCUGUGGGGUCAGCCGAGGUGAUGUAAUGAGGAUUUCCUCCCCUUUCCUGCCUUUCCUCUCUGCCCUCAGGUGGUUCCUGGAGUUAAAAUUAUUUUUUUAAAUACU